GCCUCGUCCUCAAGAACUGCUGAGCUCCUUCAAGUCUGCAGUCUGAGGCUGAUGGAUCAAUGACCUCCUUAACCUUUUAACACCACAUGUACCCGUCUGCUUCCACACGCCUAUCCCACACGUCUGUCACUUACUCACCUCACUAACUAACCUCACAACUUCACUUUCCUCUCUACUCCUUCCCGUUGCUCUUCCUUCACCAGGGUUCGAACCUUUACUCUGAAGGAGUGUCUUCUUGAGCCUUUACUCUGAAGGUGUGUCUUUUGCCCUCAGAGGGUUCAGUGUUAGGGUUCAGUUUAGAGUCAGGGACAGAGCUGGUUAGGGAGAACUGUUUUUCACUCAAACUUAUUCAUUUGCUUUCUGAAUGGUUACACCAUUUUGAAAAAUGUAUUAUGGAAAUGUUUUUCUGUGCUAUGCUGGAGGACCGGAGGCCGGCCUGCUGGAGGGCCGGAGGCUGGAGGCUGGGCUGCUGGAGGACUAGAGGACCAGGAAUCAAUGGCUGGAGGAGCUGGUGGAGGAGCUGGUGGAGGACGACCAGGACUCUACCAACAAGGAUUCCUGGACGCUGAUGGAAUCCUGUUUGGUCCGGGGCAGACCAGCCUGAGCUGAGCCCACCUGAUCCUGUUUGGUCCGGGGCAGAGCUGAACCCACCUGAUGCUCACAUCCUGCUGGUCCCGUCUCCUCAUCUCAUCUGAGCCUCGUCCUCAAGAACUGCUGAGCUCCUUCAAGUCCACAGUCUGAGGCUGAUGGAUGAAUGAACUCAUUAACCUUUUUAACACCACAUGUACCCGUGUGCUUCCACACGCCUUUCCCACACGUCUGUCACUUACUCACCUCACUAACUAACCUCACAACUUCACUUUCCUCUCUACUCCUUCCCGUAGCUCUUCCUUCUCCAGGGUUCGAACCUUUACUCUGAAGUAGUGUCUUUUGCCCUCAGAGGGUUCAGUGUCAGGGUUCAGAGUCAGGGUUUAGAGUCAGGGACAGAGCUGGUUAGGGAGAACUGUUUUUCACUCAAACCUAUUCAUUUGCUUUCUGAAUGGUUACACCAUUUACAAAAAUGUAUUAUGGAAAUGUUUUUCUGUGCUAUGCUGGACCGGAGGCUGGAGGGCCGGGAGGCUGGAGGCUGGGCUGCUGGAGGACCAGAGGACCAGGAAUCAAUGGCUGGGGGAGCUGCUGGAGGACGAGGUGGAGGAGCUGGUGGAGGAGCUGGUGGAGGACGACCAGGACUCUACCAACAAGGAUUCCUGGACGCUGAUGGAAUCCUGUUUGGUCCGGGGCAGACCAGCCUGAGCUGAGCCCACCUGGUCCUGUUUGGUCCGGGGCAGAGCUGAAGCCCACCUGAUGCUCACAUCCUGCUGGUCCCGUCUCCUCAGCUCAUUUGAGCCUCGUCCUCAAGAACUGCUGAGCUCCUUCAAGUCCACAGUCUGAGGCUGAUGGAUGAAUGAACUCGUUAACCUUUUUAACACCACAUGUACCCGUGUGCUUCCACACGCCUUUCCCACACGUCUGUCACUUACUCACCUCACUAACUAACCUCACAAAUUCACUUUCCUCUCUAAUCCUUCCCGUUGCUCUUCCUUCUCCAGGGUUCAAACCUUUACUCUGAAGGAGUGUCUUCUUGAACCUUUACUCUGAAGGAGUGUCUUCUUGAGCCUUUACUCUGAAGGAGUGUCUUUUUGCCCUCAAAGUGUUCAGUGUUAGGGUUCAGAGUCAGGGUUUAGAGUCAGGGACAGAGCUGCUAAGGGAGGACUGGCUUUACUCAUACCUCUUCCCUUCUGAAUGAUUUAAACAUUUUGAAAAUAUUUAUUGGGAAUGUUUUUGUGCUUUUUUUUGUACAAAAUCUGUAUGAAGGUUCUGGCAAUGGUUUUUGUGAAUUAAAUCCUUUUUCACUUUUCCCGCAUAUUUGGGGUAGUUAUUUAUUCGGUCAUUUAAUUUGGCUAAUCUCAAACUAAACUCCUGUAAUAGAAUAAUUUGCAUGAUGUAUAUUCAAUGUUCACAUAAUCCUCAUAUUAAUACAUUAUCAAACUUCCAUAUUGCUAAUAAAGGUCAAGUCUUAAUUACUGCUACAAACUUGUAAACACUUCAUUUAUAUUGUGAACUGAC
ensembl:lncRNA